GGCAAGGGAUGCCUAGUAACGGCGAGUGAAGCGGCAACAGCUCAAAUUUGAAAGCUAGCCUUCGGGUUCGCAUUGUAAUUUGUAGAGGAUGAUUUGGGGAAGCCGCCUGUCUAAGUUCCUUGGAACAGGACGUCAUAGAGGGUGAGAAUCCCGUAUGUGACAGGAAAUGGCACCCUAUGUAAAUCUCCUUCGACGAGUCGAGUUGUUUGGGAAUGCAGCUCUAAAUGGGAGGUAAAUUUCUUCUAAAGCUAAAUAUUGGCGAGAGACCGAUAGCGCACAAGUAGAGUGAUCGAAAGAUGAAAAGCACUUUGGAAAGAGAGUUAAAAAGCACGUGAAAUUGUUGAAAGGGAAGCGCUUGCAAUCAGACUUGUUUAAACUGUUCGGCCGGUCUUCUGACCGGUUUACUCAGUUUGGACAGGCCAGCAUCAGUUUCGGCGGCCGGAUAAAGGCUCUGGGAAUGUGGCCUCCACUUCGGUGGAGGUGUUAUAGCCCAGGGUGUAAUACGGCCAGCCGGGACUGAGGUCCGCGCUUCGGCUAGGAUGCUGGCGUAAUGGUUGUAAGCGACCCGUCUUGAAA
rnacentral:rRNA from 1 species